rnacentral:rRNA from 1 species
GCUCAACCGGGGAGGGUCAUUGGAAACUGGGGAACUUGAGUGCAGAAGAGGAGAGUGGAAUUCCACGUGUAGCGGUGAAAUGCGUAGAGAUGUGGAGGAACACCAGUGGCGAAGGCGACUCUCUGGUCUGUAACUGACGCUGAGGCGCGAAAGCGUGGGGAGCGAACAGGAUUAGAUACCCUGGUAGUCCACGCCGUAAACGAUGAGUGCUAAGUGUUAGAGGGUUUCCGCCCUUUAGUGCUGCAGCAAACGCAUUAAGCACUCCGCCUGGGGAGUACGGUCGCAAGACUGAAACUCAAAGGAAUUGACGGGGGCCCGCACAAGCGGUGGAGCAUGUGGUUUAAUUCGAAGCAACGCGAAGAACCUUACCAGGUCUUGACAUCCUCUGACAACCCUAGAGAUAGGGCUUCCCCUUCGGGGGCAGAGUGACAGGUGGUGCAUGGUUGUCGUCAGCUCGUGUCGUGAGAUGUUGGGUUAAGUCCCGCAACGAGCGCAACCCUUGAUCUUAGUUGCCAGCAUUCAGUUGGGCACCCUAAGGUGACUGCCGGUGACAAACCGGAGGAAGGUGGGGAUGACGUCAAAUCAUCAUGCCCCUUAUGACCUGGGCUACACACGUGCUACAAUGGGCAGAACAAAG